UUGGGAUUUGAAGGAACAUCCCCUGGAAGCGUUGGAUAUCGCUCGCGUGGGGUCACAGCUGAUUUGGAUUUUUCUGCAACUGUGCAAACUUUGGAUGCUUUUGUACCCACAGUCUGCGGUGAAGUAUGAGCUUAAGAAAAUCCAGCAAAACAUUUGUCAAAUUUCAGCGGAGCAUUUGCAGUUUAAGAUAAGCAAAUUUUCCGAUGCUCUACUGUUGGAAGAGGACAACUUCUCAACUUGGGGAUUCGUGGAUUUGGACUUGAGAGCAGUGGG